UACGAAGGGGGCUAGCGUUGUUCGGAAUUACUGGGCGUAAAGCGCGCGCGGGCGGUUCUUCAAGUCAGAGGUGAAAGCCCAGAGCUCAACUCUGGAAUGGCCUUUGAGACUAGAGAACUAGGGUACGGGAGAGGUGAGUGGAAUUCCGAGUGUAGAGGUGAAAUUCGUAGAUAUUAGGAAGAACACCAGUGGCGAAGGCGGCUCACUGGUCCGGUACUGACGCUGAGGUGCGAAAGCGUGGGGAGCAAACAGG
rnacentral:rRNA from 1 species